ensembl:lncRNA
CCACAACUGGUCACCAUAUACAAGGGUGUGUGUGGACAAGGAGCCCUCAGAGAGGUGGACAAGGAGCCCUCAGAGAGGUGGACAAGGAGCCCUCAGAGAGGUGGACAAGGAGCCCUCAGAGAGGUGGACAAGGAGCCCUCAGAGAGGUGGACAAGGAGCCCUCAGAGAGGUGGACAAGGAGCCCUCAGAGAGGUGGACAAGGAGCCCUCAGAGAGGUGGACAAGGAGCCCUCAGAGAGGUGGACAAGGAGCCCUCAGAGAGGUGGACAAGGAGCCCCAUCAGAGAGGUGGACAAGGAGCCCCAUCAGAGAGGUGGACAAGGAGCCCCAUCAGAGAGGUGGACAAGGAGCCCUCAGAGAGAUGGACAAGGAGCCCUCAGAG